CCUACGGGAGGCAGCAGUGAGGAAUUUUCCGCAAUGGGCGAAAGCCUGACGGAGCAAUACCGCGUGAGGGACGAAGGCCUCUGGGCUGUAAACCUCUUUUCUCAAGGAAGAAGAUAUGACGGUACUUGAGGAAUAAGCCACGGCUAAUUCCGUGCCAGCAGCCGCGGUAAUACGGGAGUGGCAAGCGUUAUCCGGAAUUAUUGGGCGUAAAGCGUCCGCAGGCGGCUUUUCAAGUCUGCUGUUAAAGCGUGGAGCUUAACUCCAUCAUGGCAGUGGAAACUGAAAGGCUUGAGUAUGGUAGGGGCAGAGGGAAUUCCCGGUGUAGCGGUGAAAUGCGUAGAUAUCGGGAAGAACACCAGUGGCGAAGGCGCUCUGCUGGGCCAUUACUGACGCUCAUGGACGAAAGCCAGGGGAGCGAAAGGGAUUAGAUACCCCUGUAGUCCUGGCCGUAAACGAUGAACACUAGGUGUCGGGGGAAUCGACCCCUUCGGUGUCGUAGCUAACGCGUUAAGUGUUCCGCCUGGGGAGUACGCACGCAAGUGUGAAACUCAAAGGAAUUGACGG
rnacentral:rRNA from 1 species